rnacentral:rRNA from 1 species
UACGGAGGGGGCUAGCGUUGUUCGGAAUUACUGGGCGUAAAGCGCGCGUAGGCGGCUUUGUAAGUCAGAGGUGAAAUCCUGGAGCUCAACUCCAGAACUGCCUUUGAUACUGAGAGUCUUGAGUAUGACAGAGGUGAGUGGAACUGCGAGUGUAGAGGUGAAAUUCGUAGAUAUUCGCAAGAACACCAGUGGCGAAGGCGGCUCACUGGCCCGCAACUGACGCUGAGGCGCGAAAGCGUGGGGAGCAAACAGGG